rnacentral:rRNA from 1 species
UACAGAGGUCCCAAGCGUUGUUCGGAUUCAUUGGGCGUAAAGGGUGCGUAGGCGGCGGGGCAAGUCUGAUGUGAAAUCCCGGGGCUCAACCUCGGAACUGCAUUGGAUACUGCCUUGCUAGAGUACUGGAGAGGAGACUGGAAUUUACGGUGUAGCAGUGAAAUGCGUAGAUAUCGUAAGGAAGGCCAGUGGCGAAGGCGAGUCUCUGGACAGUUACUGACGCUGAGGCACGAAGGCCAGGGGAGCAAACGGG